rnacentral:rRNA from 1 species
GAUGAACGCUGGCGGCGUGCCUAAUACAUGCAAGUCGAGCGAACAGAUGAGGAGCUUGCUCCUCUGACGUUAGCGGCGGACGGGUGAGUAGCACGUGGAUAACCUACCUAUAAGACUGGGAUAACUUCGGGAAACCGGAGCUAAUACCGGAUAAUAUAUUGAACCGCAUGGUUCAAUAGUGAAAGACGGUUUUGCUGUCACUUAUAGAUGGAUCCGCGCCGCAUUAGCUAGUUGGUAAGGUAACGGCUUACCAAGGCAACGAUGCGUAGCCGACCUGAGAGGUUGAUCGGCCACACUGGACCUGAGACACGGUCCAGACUCCUACGGGAGGCAGCAGUAGGGAUUCUUCCGCAAUGGGCGAAAGCCUGACGGAGCAACGCCGCGUGAGUGAUGAAGGUCUUCGGAUCUUAAAACUCUGUUAUUAGGGAAGAACAAAUGUGUAAGUAACUAUGCACGUCUUGACGGUACCUAAUCAGAAAGCCACGGCUAACUACGUG